GCCGGGGAUGUGGCUCCGUGGUAGAGCGCCCCUGGGUUCAAUGGCUAGUACCACAAUAUAUAAAUAAAUAAAGCAUCGGAGUCACCUGGAGGGUCAUUAAAAUCCUGAAGACCGGGCCCCAUCCUCAGGUCUGAAGGAGGAGGUCUGGGACAGGCUCUGACAAUUUGCACUGCCCACCAGCUCCCCGGUACCCCUCGUGCCGUGGGUCUUGGGAUCACACUUGGAGAUUCGCUGCCCUGGGUGACUCUGUGCCUCACCCACGUUGAAAGUGGACUUCAGACCUGGGCACCCAGAAGCACCCAGGAGCUGGACAACUGAAGCCGUGGGGGGCCUUCUCUGAACAGGCAGGCGCUGGGACAUGGGGUCUGCAGUGCCCAGCCUUCCCCAGGCUGCAGAGAACUGGGAGCCCUGGAGGGGAUUGUUAAGGUCCCGGGGCCCUCAGUAAAACAGGACACAUCUGCUGGUCACCCUAGCACACCUGUCCUCCGACCCGCUCGGGAGCUGCUGGGAUUCCAGGCUUGGACCACCGUGCCCCGCCCUCAGCUCCCUUUUUAAACCUCCUGGUCAUGUCAAAAUCUGCACGUUUGCUCUGGAAACAUCUUUUUGUCUUAAUUCUCUCUGUUCUCAGAGGAACCUCAGAGCCCUGGUUCUCAGAAUCUCUCACACAUUCCCCUCAUCCAAGGAAAGGCAAAAAGAGAGUCCGGUAAGUGAAAUUGAAAAGACAGCAAACCUCAUGCCUCCCCCUUGCAGCUUAAGAGCUCAGCAAGACCCCUGGAUAUUGGGUUAGAAAUUAAUCAGCCAGGGUGCAUCUUCCUCCCCCCCCCGAUAAGAUGGGAGGUUUGGCAAAUACAUAGCGAGGAGGACCAGAUCACGUUUCAUUUGAAUUUCCGGUAAAUAUUGCAUGCGUGACAUCGUUAUACUGAAAAAGUCGACAUUUAAAAAAAUCUGAAAUCGAGUUUAA